rnacentral:rRNA from 1 species
UACGGGAGGCAGCAGUGGGGAAUAUUGCACAAUGGGCGAAAGCCUGAUGCAGCUAUGCCGCGUGUAUGAAGAAGGCCUUAGGGUUGUAAAGUACUUUCAUCGGGGAGGAAAAAACAAAACUAAUAAUUUUAUUUCUUGACGUUACCCGAAAAAGAAGCACCGGCUAACUCCGUGCCAGCAGCCGCGGUAAUACGGAGGGUGCUAGCGUUAAUCAGAAUUACUGGGCGUAAAGAGCACGUAGGUGGUUUUUUUAAAGUCAGAUGUGAAAUCCCUGGGCUUUAACCUAGGAACUGCAUUUUGAAACUGAAAUACUAGAGUAUCGUAGAGGGAGGUAGAAUUCUAGGUGUAGCGGUGAAAUGCGUAGAUAUCUGGAGGAAUACCUGUGGCGAAAGCGGCCUCCUAAACGAAUACUGACACUGAGGGUGCGAAAGCGUGGGGAGCAAACAGGGAUUAGAUACC